rnacentral:rRNA from 1 species
CGGCGGACGGGUGAGUAAUGCCUAGGAAUCUGCCUGGUAGUGGGGGACAACGUUUCGAAAGGAACGCUAAUACCGCAUACGUCCUACGGGAGAAAGCAGGGACCUUCGGGCCUUGCGCUAUCAGAUGAGCCUAGGUCGGAUUAGCUAGUUGGUGAGGUAAUGGCUCACCAAGGCGACGAUCCGUAACUGGUCUGAGAGGAUGAUCAGUCACACUGGAACUGAGACACGGUCCAGACUCCUACGGGAGGCAGCAGA